UAAGGAAUAUUGGUCAAUGGACGCAAGUCUGAACCAGCCAUGCCGCGUGAAGGAUGAAGGUCCUCUGGAUUGUAAACUUCUUUUAUCUGGGACGAAAACGGGAUUUUUAUCUCAAUUGACGGUACCAGAGGAAUAAGCACCGGCUAACUCCGUGCCAGCAGCCGCGGUAAUACGGAGGGUGCGAGCGUUAUCCGGAUUUACUGGGUUUAAAGGGUGCGUAGGUGUGCUUAUAAGUCAGUGGUGAAAUCUCCGAGCUUAACUUGGAAACUGCCGUUGAUACUAUAGGUCUUGAAUUAUCUGGAGGUAAGCGGAAUAUGUCAUGUAGCGGUGAAAUGCUUAGAUAUGACAUAGAACACCAAUUGCGAAGGCAGCUUACUACAUAUAAAUUGACGCUGAGGCACGAAAGCGUGGGGAUCAAACA
rnacentral:rRNA from 1 species